AUGUGAUCGUCUCUCGCAUAUCAAUAAGCGGAGGAAAAGAAACUAACAAGGAUUCCCCUAGUAACGGCGAGUGAAGCGGGAAGAGCUCAAAUUUGAAAUCUUAAAGGGUUUCCCUUUACGAAUUGUAGUUUAAAGAAGUGUUUUCUGUUGAGGUUUUGGUAAAAGUUCUUUGGAAUAGGACAUCAUAGAGGGUGAGAAUCCCGUAUUUGACCUUUACUUUCAACUUUGUGAUACACUUUCAAAGAGUCGGAUUGUUUGGGAAUGCAGUCCAAAAUGGGUGGUAAAUUUCAUCUAAAGCUAAAUAUUGGCGAGAGACCGAUAGCGAACAAGUACCGUGAGGGAAAGAUGAAAAGAACUUUGAAAAGAGAGUUAAACAGUACGUGAAAUUGUCAAAAGGGAAGCGUUUGACACCAGUGUUGUUUUUCUGAAAAUCAAUUAAAGAACUGUUUAUGCUAAGCUGUUUAGACUUUAUCAGCUAUCUGUUUAGUUUUGAGCUUUUCUUUAAUGCACUUUUCAGUUAACAAGUCAACAUCAAUUUCUUUUGCUGUAAAAAAGCUUGAGGAAGGUGGCUUGAGAUUCGUCUUAAGUGUUUAUAGCCUCUUGCCUAUGCAGUCGGAGAGAUUGAGGUCUGCAGCGUAGAUCCUUCGGGGCUAAAUGCAUUUGUGCUAAGUUAUAGCAUUUUAUAGACAACUUGUUGACUAUGAUUUGUCUUGUAGCUUACUCGCUUAUGUUAUUUUACCUACGCUUAGGAUGUUGACACACGCGCGUGCUCG
rnacentral:rRNA from 1 species